AUUGAACGCUGGCGGAAUGCUUUACACAUGCAAGUCGAACGGUAGAGGGGGCAACCCCUCGAGAGUGGCGAACGGGUGAGUAAUACAUCGGAACGUGCCUCGUAGUGGGGGAUAACUACUCGAAAGAGUGGCUAAUACCGCAUGAGAUCUACGGAUGAAAGCAGGGGAUCGCAAGACCUUGUGCUACUAGAGCGGCCGAUGGCAGCUUAGGUAGUUGGUGGGUUAAAAGCUUACCAAGCCGACGAUCUGUAGCUGGUCUGAGAGGACGAUCAGCCACACUGGGACAGAGACACGGCCCAGACUCCUACGGGAGGCAGCAGUGGGGAAUUUUGGACAAUGGGCGCAAGCCUGAUCCAGCAAUGCCGCGUGCAGGAUGAAGGCCUUCGGGUUGUAAACUGAUUUUGUACGGAACGAAAAGCCCUGGGUUAAUACCCUGGGGUCAUGACGGUACCGUAAGAAGAAGCACCGGCUAACUACGUGCCAGCCGCCGCGGUAA
rnacentral:rRNA from 1 species